ACAGGAAGUGAGGUGCAUAGCAACCACGAGCCAAAAAGCAGAAAAGCGCAUACCUUUAGCUUGGAAUGAAAAUCACGAGAUUUCCUUCUGGCAAGAACCUGAAUGUGACUAGACACCUGCAGGGGUCCUCACUGCAGUGACUUGAUUCAGAAGUUUGGGCAGGCUCACCUCCCACGUUCCCACCUGAAGAGACCACAGAGAUGCACACUUUUCCAGACCUGAGCCCUGCUAUCCAACACUGCCACCAGUGCGGCCACCACUCGCUCCUUCCUUCUUCAUGCCCCACCCACCUGCCACAGAAAGAGGGACCUAGUCCAAAAAGAGAGCUAAUCUCAACAUUAACCCA